UACGUAGGUGACAAGCGUUGUCCGGAUUUACUGGGCGUAAAGAGCGCGCAGGCGGUCGUUCAAGUCGAGUGUGAAAGCCCCCGGCUCAACUGGGGAGGGUCAUUCGAUACUGAUCGACUCGAAGGCAGGAGAGGGAAGUGGAAUUCCCGGUGUAGCGGUGAAAUGCGCAGAUAUCGGGAGGAACACCAGUAGCGAAGGCGGCUCGCUGGGCCACACCUGACGCUGAGACGCGAAAGCUAGGGGAGCGAACAGG
rnacentral:rRNA from 1 species